rnacentral:rRNA from 1 species
AUUGAACGCUGGCGGCAUGCUUUACACAUGCAAGUCGAACGGAUUUUGGAGCUUGCUCCAGAGUUAGUGGCGAACGGGUGAGUAAUAUAUCGGAACGUACCCGGCAAUGGGGGAUAACGUAGCGAAAGUUACGCUAAUACCGCAUAUGCCCUGAGGGGGAAAGCAGGGGACCAGUAAUGGCCUUGCGUUCUCGGCGCGGCCGAUAUCGGAUUAGCUAGUUGGUGAGGUAAAGGCUCACCAAGGCGACGAUCCGUAGCGGGUCCGAGAGGAUGAUCCGCCACACUGGGACUGAGACACGGCCCAGACUCCUACGGGAGGCAGCAGUGGGGAAUUUUGGACAAUGGGCGAAAGCCUGAUCCAGCCAUGCCGCGUGAGUGAAGAAGGCCUUCGGGUUGUAAAGCUCUUUCAGGUGGAAAGAAAAGGUUACGGAUAAUACCUGUAACUGAUGACGGUACCAUCAGAAGAAGCACCGGCUAACUACGUGCCAGCAGCCGCGGUAAGAC